rnacentral:misc_RNA from 1 species
UUUCUUCUCUAUUACACUAUAUCAUUUUGUGCUGGUAGUUUACCAUCUUGGUCAUUUCAUAUAUGCUGUUAUUUGUAAUGCAUUUAUCUUGCUGUGGAUUGAUGAUUCGGGCUAGAAUUUAAUUUGGUGGCUUCUGAUCUGUAACUUCUCGUGUUAUGUUUAACUUUGAAAUGCUUUCAAACUAUUUGGCUUGUGAGCUAUAAAUUAAUCGCCUUUUUUUGAUCUGGGUCUGAUUACUGAGCCGGGAGGGAAAAUAAAGAAAGAAUCUCAGCAACCAUUAAACUCAUUUUACUACUGCUUCCUUUGGUACAGCCGGAGAGGAACUCAAACAUUGUCUCCCGAUCUAUUAUUUCAAGAUGGAAUUGAACUGCUUAGACAAUUUGGUAAAAUUCCAUUGCAAACGUUGUAUUUGAAAUUUUAGAUUUGAUUAAAAAUAAGGAGUAAGCACCACCCUUUUGUUAGAGUUUAAAUGUGAGGUGUGAGAAAGUGGUGAAAAAUUGUGGAAUAAAACUGUUGUGUGGAUAGAGGGUGCAUAAGAUCUUGUGAGGUGCUUGCUUUAGCAGUAUUAUGCUGCUAAUUUAUUGUAUUUGAUAACUUGUAUCAUUGAAUCAGUAUGUUCAAGCUAAUGCUCAUUACCUGCGAAUGUUCACUUCUUUCAUUUAAUGUGGAAUAAGAGUUUAAAAAUAGAAUGAAAUAUCUUUAGUUUUUCUAAAUGGUAAUUUGGGCUUGGAUGCAGGUGAGUUUGAGCGAGUGGCAGGACACACAUCAAAAGUGCACACAUAUGGCACACAGUUUGUUAUUACUGGAUUCAACUAUUUGUUUUUGUGUAACUGGUGCUGAAAUUUGCAUAUUUUGUUAUGUAUAAAGGUACAGGUGAUUUGUGCGAGCGACCCAGUUUCACAACGGAGGGGAGGAG